rnacentral:misc_RNA from 1 species
UCUUCUUCUUCUUCUUCUUUCUCUCAACUUGCAAUUCCUCAUCCCUUGGCCACCACACUUCUUGGCCUCCAUUGUCAUCGCUGGUCAUCCCCAUAUUUCGUUUCUUCUUUUUCUUUCUCUUCUUUCUCUCUAAUUCUUCGCAAUACUCCUCCUUCCACCACUCCCUAGGCGGCCUUCUCUUCUCCUUCUUCAAAACCUUCUCUUCCUUCUCCUCGUCCAACGAAACCCACCAAUCCAAACGCUUUCGAUUUUUCUUUUUAUCUAUUUUCCCAAUUGUUUGAUUACUCGAUGAAGACGCUCCAAUCCAAUCGCGCUUUGGCCUCUCCUUCUUUAUCUCUGUUCCAAUCCAUUCCAUCACAUAGUCCUUCACCGCUCCAUUCUCCACCACGCCACUGUUAUCUUGUUUCCACCACCAGUCCCCUCCAGAUGCACUCUUCAUCCUUCUGUCUCUCAUUUUCCUUCCAUUAAUCAAUUCGUUCCCACUCUCAAUACUGGCCCCAUCGAAAUUCACCUCAGUCGGCACUGCCAACCCACCUGCCUCCGGCGAGGCACUUACAGCCUCUACCGUCUCCGGCGAUGUUGCAGAAAUUGAAACAGGUCCCCUAUUAAAGUUCUCAGGGGACUGCUCCACUCCCAAGUUGAACUCCUCGAACCCUGUAGUUACACUUUCGGUCUCCACCACAGAUCCAUAAUCAUCAAUUGGAGCCCCAUUAUUACUCUCUAAUUCAGCUUUGUUCAACUCCGAUCCACCAUUCAUCUUCCCCACAUCACUCUCUUCGACCUUAAUCUCGCACUGAUUCUGAUUUUGAUUAUCUGUUUUCAGCCACGCCAAUCCAAAAUCGGCAAUCUUUGCCGAAAAACACUGAUCCAGCAAAAUAUUACUGGGCUUUAUAUCGCCAUGAAUAACAGGCGGAUCCAAACAAUGAAGAUACUCGAUCCCUUUAGCUAUAUCAACCGCAAUGCUAAACCUUUUACUCCACUGCAACAAUUCGGGGCACUUCCUGUGGAGAAGGGCAUCCUGUAAGUUGCCGUUAGGCAUGAGCUCAUAUAUAAGCAACAUCGUCGGAUGUUUCCGAUCGGAGGAGAAGCCAAGGGCCGUGACGAUGUAAGGAGACUCAAGUUUCGAGGCAAAAAGAAUCUCGUUUUGGAACUCACGCUCGCCCUGCAGAGAGCCCGAGUCCAUGACUUUCACGGCGAUCAGUUGUCCAUUUGGGAGAGUGCCACGAAAUACGGAACCAAACCCACCUUGGCCCAGGCGAAGGGAAGGGGAGAAUGAGUCGGUGGCGCGGUGGAGGGUAUUGUAAGAGAAACGAUGAGGUGGCUUAGAGUCAGAAGGGACAGUGCGCUUGCGGCUGAUUUUACGGAAGCAGACAACGAAAAC